rnacentral:rRNA from 1 species
CCUACGGGAGGCAGCAGUGGGGAAUAUUGCACAAUGGGCGCAAGCCUGAUGCAGCGACGCCGCGUGAGGGAUGACGGCCUUCGGGUUGUAAACCUCUUUCAGUAGGGAAGAAGCCGCAAGGUGACGGUACCUGCAGAAGAAGCGCCGGCUAACUACGUGCCAGCAGCCGCGGUAAUACGUAGGGCGCAAGCGUUAUCCGGAAUUAUUGGGCGUAAAGAGCUCGUAGGCGGUUUGUCGCGUCUGCCGUGAAAGUCCGGGGCUCAACUCCGGAUCUGCGGUGGGUACGGGCAGACUAGAGUGAUGUAGGGGAGACUGGAAUUCCUGGUGUAGCGGUGAAAUGCGCAGAUAUCAGGAGGAACACCGAUGGCGAAGGCAGGUCUCUGGGCAUUAACUGACGCUGAGGAGCGAAAGCAUGGGGAGCGAACAGGAUUAGAUACCCUGGUAGUCCAUGCCGUAAACGUUGGGCACUAGGUGUGGGGGACAUUCCACGUUUUCCGCGCCGUAGCUAACGCAUUAAGUGCCCCGCCUGGGGAGUACGGCCGCAAGGCUAAAACUCAAAGGAAUUGACGGCUGAGACGNGCGACGACGACGACGAGGGAGGAGG